AUGACAACAAGAAGGGCUAGUCGUACCUCUACAAAUGGUGUUGAAAUUGCGGAGAAUGAAAUUCUCUCGCACAGAAGCAGAGAAGUUGGGUUUUUCAACCUCCUGAAUGGGAUUAAUAGUCAAAUGUUAGAGGGGGUUCGCAUUUUUAAAAAUAUAAUUUAUGCACGCGACAGCAGGGGUGUUGGGGGCGGGAACCUUGGCAACAAUGACUUCAACGGGGGAUUCAAAAUUCAUCCUGUUCUUAUUGCAUUUGUUCUGUUAUUGGGAUUUGCAUACUGCCUAACAAGUACUAAAAGGUAUUAUUUCUUCUUGUUCUUCUUAACAAUUUUUUUUUUGUAAAAAAAAAGAACUCAGCAUAUUAUGACACAUCCAUACAAAAUCGAUUGUAUGUGUUUGGCUUGGCUUGGUUCAUUUUUAAAAUUAGUAAAACUUGGCAUAUGUUUUGUAAUCUAAAAAGCUUGGUCUUUAUUUUUAAAGUUAGGAACAAGGAAUUGAAAUAUAGAAUAUGUUGAGCUUUAUUAAUAUAUAUAUUUUUUUAAUGCGAAGUUCAGAUUUUGUAUAUUAUUGAAAAGGAGCCAUUUUACUGAUGUUGUGCUUUAUUAAUAGUUCUACACUUCUAAUAACUUACUAAUUACUAAUGUUAUAGCAUAUGAUAUCAUGGUAUACAUAUCAUAUCUCUGCUAUCUUUUAAUUUCAUUUUUGUUUCAUAGCUGACUAGUAUUUCUACUUUCUUUUUUGUUCCAUAGCUAAAUAGCUCCUAUUUUCUUAUUAAUUUUUUUGGGUUUAUUUUUCAGUGAAAUGUCUAGAUUGACAAUUUUGAUUAGCUACGGUGGGAGGUGGGUUGACUCAAGGUACGAAAAUUUCAAAGCUAAAGGAGUACUCGUUUCCAAUACAAUUACAUUGAAGGAGCUUCAGAAGCAAGUAUAUGACAUUGUCAAUGCGGACCCAAAUGACUAUGAGAUAACUAUGAUAGCUAUGUAUGAAACAAUGAAAAGCGCAUGGCCUGUAGAGAUAGCCGAUGAUGAUGAUGUGAGAGCUUUUAUUUUUGAAAGUCGUUUAAGUUCUUCUAAGAUUCCAUUGUGCAUUACAUUGGAGGAGACCAACCUUGGGGGGUCCCCACAAGCUCCCUGAUUAUUCCCAGUCAAAACAUUUGUGGGCUUGGCAUCCGACGAACGUUCGAUAACCUCCUCUUCUGGUUAGGUUUUGGGAACCUUUGGCGUGUGCUCCCUCAAAAUUUGUUCUUCUUUUUCUUAUUCCGUUAUUUUUGACUCUUUGCGAGCUGAUUAAUC
rnacentral:lncRNA from 1 species